UACGUAGGUGGCAAGCGUUGUCCGGAAUUACUGGGUGUAAAGGGAGCGCAGGCGGGAAGCCAAGUCAGCUGUGAAAACUACGGGCUUAACUUGUAGACUGCAGUUGAAACUGGUUUUCUUGAGUGAAGUAGAGGUUGGCGAAAUUCCGAGUGUAGCGGUGAAAUGCGUAGAUAUUCGGAGGAACACCGGUGGCGAAGGCGGCCAACUGGGCUUUAACUGACGCUGAGGCUCGAAAGUGUGGGGAGCAAACAGG
rnacentral:rRNA from 1 species